UACGUAGGGUGCAAGCGUUAAUCGGAAUUACUGGGCGUAAAGCGUGCGCAGGCGGUUCGCUAAGACAGAUGUGAAAUCCCCGGGCCUAACCUGGGAACUGCAUUUGUGACUGGCGGGCUAGAGUAUGGCAGAGGGGGGUAGAAUUCCACGUGUAGCAGUGAAAUGCGUAGAGAUGUGGAGGAAUACCGAUGGCGAAGGCAGCCCCCUGGGCCAAUACUGACGCUCAUGCACGAAAGCGUGGGGAGCAAACAGG
rnacentral:rRNA from 1 species